GCAAACUUAAGGAAAUGAAGAGAGGGUCUAACAUGAAGAUAAGAGUCUUGUUUGGUAGCCAAGGAUGACUUGCCUGCCUGCCUCCUAAUUCCAAGAGGACAGCUCUGGUUAUUUAGGGUUCUCAGGCAGUCUCCUUUGGCUAACUUGACAGUCUCUUCUUUCUCAUGCCAGACCUUUCUCUUCUUUCUUUGUUUGU
rnacentral:pre_miRNA from 1 species